rnacentral:rRNA from 1 species
GAGUUUGAUCCUGGCUCAGAACGAACGCUGGCGGCAUGCCUAACACAUGCAAGUCGAACGAUGGCUUCGGCCAUAGUGGCGCACGGGUGCGUAACGCGUGGGAAUCUGCCCUUCGGUUCGGAAUAACUCAGGGAAACUUGAGCUAAUACCGGAUAAUGUCGCAAGACCAAAGAUUUAUCGCCGAAGGAUGAGCCCGCGUAGGAUUAGCUAGUUGGUGGGGUAAAGGCCCACCAAGGCGACGAUCCUUAGCUGGUCUGAGAGGAUGAUCAGCCACACUGGGACUGAGACACGGCCCAGACUCCUACGGGAGGCAGCAGUGGGGAAUAUUGGACAAUGGGCGAAAGCCUGAUCCAGCAAUGCCGCGUGAGUGAUGAAGGCCUUAGGGUUGUAAAGCUCUUUUACCCGGGAUGAUAAUGACAGUACCGGGAGAAUAAGCUCCGGCUAACUCCGUGCCAGCAGCCGCGGUA